AUUGCAAUUUCUGCCAAAUAUUGAUUCCAUGUCCUUGAUUAUUGUGCUCUGGUAAAUCAUAAACAGGCUUGGUCGAUGGUUGACUCUGAUACUGUGAAUUAGGCCACGUAUUCAAUUCAGGUCCAUGAUCAUGUGGCUUAUAAUUAGCAACAUAUGCGUCUACAUCUUGAGGUCUCUGAGUAGAACUGUAAACUGGUUUGGACGAUGGUUGACUCUGAUACUGUGAAUUAGGCCACGAGCUUGGUUUAGAUCCAUGGUCCUGAGGUUUAUAAUUUGUAAUAUAUGCGUCCACAUCUUGAGAAGGUUUCUGAGUAGUCAAUUUUUGGAAGUUGGUAUAAUAAGUGUACAAAGUUGGUCUUGGACUGGUUCCAGGGAAACUAUCAAAUACAACAUCGCUAGAGUAGCUAGGUCUAUAUCCUUGGCUCAAAGGAUUAGGAUUAUUGGGAUCAUUGAAGGCAUAUGGAACAUAAGGGUAAACAGGAUCUCCUAGAGGAUGCGCUAUUAUCACAGGUUUUGCUGGAAGAUAAGUUGGAAUAGGCAUAGAUGCUUCAGAAACUGGUCUCUGUUGUGCUUCCUGGACCAACGAGGGAUUCACUUUUAUAUUGGACCCAUAGAUAGCAUCAUUCACAAAGACAGGUGAAUUAAUUGCAUUAUUUUGUACAACUAUGGUUAGAUUAUCUACAGGACCAAAAGGCUUCUUCACGACAAUCCUGUUCUGCUGAUGAACGCUUGUUUCUGCAGGGUUUAAGUUAUGAGAGUAUAAAUCUGUAGAUUUUGAAGUGGUUGUACUGACUGAAGCGUACUUCUUUAUUUUAUCAAUGAUACCUUCUCUUCUAAAUUUUGGAUUUCUCUCUACCCAUGAUUCUAAAUUCAAUUGUCCAAUAAUAGAAUCGCUGCAAGGUCUACGUUGAUUCUUCAGAGUAUCCUGUGUCAAGAACACAAAUGGUUGUAUAGUCUCUAUACUAUCCAUAGUUGAGCAAAGAACUUGAGCUAGAGUGACUCUCCUGAUUUGUUGGAGCUGUCCAGGCGUGAAACUGCUUUCCUGCUUCGAAUUCUCAUACCAGAAUCUGUCUCCUCUACGUAUAUUAUUAAACUGCUGGCCAAUUAUACAAGCAAACGUGGGUCCAACUAAACCGCUCUUCACUGAUUUCUCUGCAAGUCCUCCAGUGAAUAAAUCGAUAUCUUCGACGGACGAGUAGACUAAUUUGAACCUUCUAGCCGUGGAUGGUGGCAUAACUUUCUCUAAAUCGUCAAAGCUUUUUAUCGGCGAUAGAGCACAGGGCUCUCGCCAUCGUACGUA
rnacentral:misc_RNA from 1 species